AGUGAACGCUGGCGGUAGGCCUAACACAUGCAAGUCGAACGGCAGCACAGGAGAGCUUGCUCUCUGGGUGGCGAGUGGCGGACGGGUGAGGAAUACAUCGAAAUCUGCCCAGUCGUGGGGGAUAACGUAGGGAAACUUACGCUAAUACCGCAUACGACCUUCGGGUGAAAGAGGGGGAUCGCAAGACCUCUCGCGAUUGGAUGAGCCGAUGUCGGAUUAGCUAGUUGGCGGGGUAAUGGCCCACCAAGGCGACGAUCCGUAGCUGGUCUGAGAGGAUGAUCAGCCACACUGGAACUGAGACACGGUCCAGACUCCUACGGGAGGCAGCAGUGGGGAAUAUUGGACAAUGGGCGCAAGCCUGAUCCAGCCAUACCGCGUGGGUGAAGAAGGCCUUCGGGUUGUAAAGCCCUUUUGUUGGGAAAGAAAUCUUUCAGGCUAAUACCCUGGGAGGAUGACGGUACCCAAAGAAUAAGCACCGGCUAACUUCGUG
rnacentral:rRNA from 1 species